ensembl:lncRNA
CUCCACUCCUUGGGAAUAGACUACUUGCCAAAGGGAAGAGCUACAACCGCCACUAGGCUAUUCAGGCACACAAAAAGCACAUAAAGCUAUUUGAGGAAGAAUACACAGGUGCUGGUUUACUUAGCGCUUAUUUCUCUAACUCCUACCUUCACUUUCACUGCCCAUAUCCUGGUUAGAAUACCAUUAUGUAAAAAGACACUGCAAACAACAUAAUUGCCCUCAGGUGGCUGGUUUAUUUCAGAAAUAAUAAACUCAAAACAUACUUUGCACUGCAGUCUCGUAAGUCAGCAGCAGACAGACUUCUACUGAAGACUAAUGCAUUGCACACAGAUUCACUAAAGCAUUCCACAAACCUGAAAAUCUCCAUCCAUUACUUACCACUGAACAGAGGUAGGUAAUACUUGUCAUUUGUCCAGUUACUUGCAAGGAAAAGGCAAAUAAUGCCUGGCCACACUGUCUCCAUUCUUUAAACACCCAAGAUGUACAAACGCACAUACAAGAACAGGUAAUGUAAGUAUACUUCCCCAUUCCUACAGCACAAAUCAAGAGUGGAGAAAUGUAUCACUUAGAAGGCCAGAGAACCAUCCAAGAGUUUCUAACCCAACAGCCUACAUAAAGCAUACCACUCAUGUUCAGUCAGCCAUAUGCACUGUGCCCCUUCCUUUAAAGUGCUGCUGUGCAUACAUACCAUCACCAACAUCAAGGCAGACAUGAAGUUUGCUGACUUGUAAACCAAGAGAAAGCUAUCAUUUUUCAUAACAGCUUCCAGCUACAAGGGAGAAGAUGGUAGCUUUAAUGUCUAUGCCCUGUUGUGUUUUAUAUUUGGUUUUAGAUAUAAAGUUUUGUUAUUUUAAAAUUAAAAGUAGACCCAAAGAGAUCCUGCUCAUAUAUCAUCUCUACAUCAACGUUCAGGCUUCAGUCAGCCAUCAUUAACACACCAACACUGUAUUAAGAACUAAAAUGGUGCCAAUUUUCUGUGCCCUUGGUCAAGGUCCAGUCAGUUACUUGGUGUGAAGCGGUACUGUUUCUCAGCCCAGUAGUAGUAAUGCUCCACGUGUUUUUUUUUCCCUCCUCUGUCUUCAUCUCCUGUUCUACGCCAACAUAUCUUAGUGAGGCUGUCUGGCACACUUCUCCAUUCUUUUUAAUGGUUUAAAGAAAACAUAUUUUUCAUCCAAUGAAAGCACUUUGAAUAGAAUCUAUUAUGAAGGAUUAUGGUCUAGUAUAUAUUAUGGUCUAGUAUUAAAUGUGGAGGUUGGUGGCCCUGCCUGUAGCGGGGGGGGAGGGGGUUGGAGAUUCAUUAUCUUUGAGGACCCUUCCAACCUGUGCCAUUCUGUGUGAUUCUGUGUGUGAAGGAGAGAAUUCUCUUUUUCUGAGUGGCAGUUUUGUUGGGCAUAGAAUUCAUAACCCAAGGUGUCUAAAACUGCUAAAUUUAGAAAGUCAAGUAAUAACAGUUCCACAUGGGCCAAAGGAUGAUCUAAGGAUGAGGGAAGCAAUAUAUCUUUUUUAGCAAUUGAAAGAGUUGGGAACGUUCCCACAGUGAGAACAGACUUAGCAAAUUCUCUGCAAGCGGGACACUUGGAUGCAUGGAAUAUUUCAGCUACAGCAGUAAUUCCACUGUGUUCUGUGCUGAAAGCAGAGGUCAGACUUAAGGGAAUUAUAUUAGACAUACAGUCAGACAAGGCAUGCACCUCAGGGAAUAGCUCCUUGCACAGAUAUAAACACAUCAGCUGCAUGCAGUCUCUUCCUUCCAAGAUGCUACAGCUGCCUCUCCU